AGAGUUUGAUCAUGGCUCAGAUUGAACGCUGGCGGCAUGCCUUACACAUGCAAGUCGAACGGCAGCACGGGGGCAACCCUGGUGGCGAGUGGCGAACGGGUGAGUAAUACAUCGGAACGUGCCCGGUAGUGGGGGAUAGCCCGGCGAAAGCCGGAUUAAUACCGCAUACGACCUACGGGUGAAAGCGGGGGACCGCAAGGCCUCGCGCUAUCGGAGCGGCCGAUGUCGGAUUAGCUUGUUGGUGGGGUAAAGGCCUACCAAGGCGACGAUCCGUAGCUGGUCUGAGAGGACGACCAGCCACACUGGGACUGAGACACGGCCCAGACUCCUACGGGAGGCAGCAGUGGGGAAUUUUGGACAAUGGGCGCAAGCCUGAUCCAGCCAUGCCGCGUGCGGGAAGAAGGCCUUCGGGUUGUAAACCGCUUUUGUCAGGGAAGAAACGCUCCGGGCUAAUAUCCUGGAGUAAUGACGGUACCUGAAGAAUAAGCACCGGCUAACUACGUGCCAGCAGCCGCGGUAAUACGUAGGGUGCGAGCGUUAAUCGGAAUUACUGGGCGUAAAGCGUGCGCAGGCGGUUGUGCAAGACAGGUGUGAAAUCCCCGGGCUUAACCUGGGAACUGCAUUUGUGACUGUGCGACUGGAGUGUGGCAGAGGGGGAUGGAAUUCCGCGUGUAGCAGUGAAAUGCGUAGAUAUGCGGAGGAACACCGAUGGCGAAGGC
rnacentral:rRNA from 1 species